rnacentral:misc_RNA from 1 species
ACACCUCAACUCCUCACGGUUUGCCGUGAUGAGCUUGGACUUUUGGAGGUUUUGCUGGCCUUUGGUCAGCUCCUCUCAAAUCGAUCAGCUCACCAGUGUUUGGUGACGUCACGGGUGUGAUAACUAUCUACGCUUGUGGCUGUCUGCCAGAUAACCUUCAGCAAUGGGGGUUCACUGGAGCUCACAAAAGUCUUUCCUCAGUGAAGACAGCUUUUUGAAC